AAUCAACGCUGGCGGCGUGCCUCAGACAUGCAAGUCGAACGCGAAAGGUUCCUUCGGGGACCGAGUAGAGUGGCGCACGGGUGAGUAACACGUAGGUAAUUUGCCUUUGGGUGGGGAAUAACUCAGGGAAACUUGAGCUAAUACCGCAUAAUGCAGCGGCUCGACAUCGAGACAGUUGUUAAAGCGGGGGAUUCGCAAGAACCUCGCGCCUAAAGAGAAGCCUGCGGCAGAUAGCUAGUUGGUAAGGUAAUGGCUUACCAAGGCGACGAUCUGUAACCGGCCUGAGAGGGCGGUCGGUCACACUGACACUGACAUACGGGUCAGACUCCUACGGGAGGCAGCAGUCGGGAAUUUUGGGCAAUGGGCGAAAGCCUGACCCAGCAACGCCGCGUGAA
rnacentral:rRNA from 1 species